GCUGGUGUAGCUCAAUCGGCAGAGCAGCUGAUUUGUAAUCAGCAGGUUGCUGGUUCAAUUCCGGUCACCAGCUCCA
rnacentral:tRNA from 1 species